AUGCGUUGCGGUGCUCGAAUACCUCCUUCCCACUUCAGGAGCCCAGCUGUGUUCAAAGUGGAUAUAAGAUAAGUAACAUGCAAAGAGCAAAGGCAUUUAACUGCAAACUUCUAAAGACCAACGAGUAAAACACACCAGUG